GGAUACCACGCAGUGAUGGCCAAGCCACACAGCCUUGAGGUCAACGAUUCGCCAGAUUUGACAGCAGAGCACAGUCGUCAGGCAGUCAAGGAAGUUGCGGCAGGUCUGCCAACGUUGGAGGAUACCACGUGGCUGGGCCCAGAACAUUAACGGCACCGAUCAACAUUUCCUGCUCGCCCUAAACCAGACGGAUGACACCUUCCAAAAUUGCACCACGCCGACUGGCACGACGGGCGUCUGCCGACACCUUGCC